GCGUGAGUGAUGAAGGCCUUAGGGUUGUAAAGCUCUUUCAGAUGUGAGGAUGAUGACAGUAGCAUCAGAAGAAGCCCCGGCUAACUCCGUGCCAGCAGCCGCGGUAAUACGGAGGGGGCUAGCGUUGUUCGGAUUUACUGGGCGUAAAGCGCGCGUAGGCGGCGCUUCAAGUCAGAGGUGAAAUCCCGGGGCUCAACCCCGGAAUUGCCUUUGAAACUGAAGUGCUUGAGUUCUAGAGAGGGUGGCGGAAUUCCAAGUGUAGAGGUGAAAUUCGU
rnacentral:rRNA from 1 species